rnacentral:lncRNA from 1 species
GAGAGAGUGUUGGAGCAGCAUGAAGAUCAGGAAGAAAAGGAUGGAGUGCGCUGCCAUGGCAGCGAUUGAGCGGCGAUGGGCGGCGGAACAGAGCUUCAGAGAUAGUGUCUUCGGCCAUUAGGUACUUGAGACAAGGCUUAUGCAGGCCCGGUUUUGCUGGAGAAAAGGAUUGGUGAGGGCGAGCGCGGGUCUGGUCGCAUCAAGCGGCGGAUUGGGGGCGGCGACUCGGC